CUCAUGGAGACAGCAAGAAACACAUUUGGAUCAAAACAAUGGAUGUUACAUUUGCUGAGCUGGAUCCUGUGUUCCCAGGCAGACCAAGUCAUCUUGGCUGCAGCAGACACCUCACAGUACAAACGAGGCAGGACUUCUUCACCCUUGACGGUUUUGAGUUCUCCAUGACCUCCCAGUUCUUCAAUGUGACUGACACCGAUGUUUACCUUAUACACCUGCCUCCUGGUGACCACUUCCCUAUGGAACAGAAAGAUACAUCUUUACUGGCCCCCACACGCAGCAAGAGAUGCACAGAUAUGCCACAAUGACCACAUCUCAGUCACGGCAUGACUCUAGAGAACUCACACCUGCUUGUUAUAAACCCACCAAUUAGAACUCCUUGAGGGAAACCUGCUUGAGUAAUGCCCAGGACCAGAUCAAAGGCUUAAGCCCCGAGGACCUUCACUCUUUCUCUCUCACUUCCCACCUAGUGGUUCACCGGGCAUAUCCCUGAUGGCCCUCCCUUUGCUCCAUUGGUCCUAUGAGGUAUGCUGUCCUUUACUUUCUGGGAGCUAUAAAUAAAAGCUGCUUCUGUUUGUUGAGUUGCCUCUUC
rnacentral:lncRNA from 13 species